rnacentral:rRNA from 1 species
AGAGUUUGAUCCUGGCUCAGAUUGAACGCUGGCGGCAUGCUUUACACAUGCAAGUCGAACGGCAGCACAGGGAGCUUGCUCCCGGGUGGCGAGUGGCGCACGGGUGAGUAAUACAUCGGAACGUGUCCUGUUGUGGGGGAUAACUGCUCGAAAGGGUGGCUAAUACCGCGUGAGACCUGAGGGUGAAAGCGGGGGAUCGCAAGACCUCGCGCAAUUGGAGCGGCCGAUGCCCGAUUAGCUAGUCGGUGAGGUAAAGGCUCACCAAGGCGACGAUCGGUAGCUGGUCUGAGAGGACGACCAGCCACACUGGGACCGAGACACGGCCCAGACUCCUACGGGAGGCAGCA